GCCGGCUUGGCGGAAUGGUAGACGCGCUCGACUCAAAAUCGAGUUCCCCAAAGAGUGUGGGUUCGAGUCCCACAGCCGGUA
rnacentral:tRNA from 1 species